UUCACCUUGUUACCAAUGCCAGAGGUAUCGAAUAAAAACUCAAUUCCCAUACAACUCUGUAUCCAAUCUCUGCUCUGUAAAUUCCCAAAUUGGUCAUGAAGCAAAUAUUCAACAGGCAAAUACCAUAGCCAGAGGUGGUCCUUGGAGGUCUGGGUAUUAAAAGCUAUAGUAUCAGUACGUGACUCAACUGUAAGAUCUUCAAAAUGGAUUCUAGUAAUACAUGGAAUUUCUUCCUCCGUCCAAUCAACAUUAUUAGAGGCAGGCACAAGAACACAACACAAGGCAACUCCUAUCCACUGAAUAUCAUUCUGUAAAAUGGGUAUCAUUAUUGAACAUUUCUCACUCUGGUGACUAAACCAUUCAAAAAUUUCGCUUCCAGGUAUAACAAUGUCUAAACGUAUUCUUGCAUUCGCAUAUGUCUGCAAAACAAAACUCCGUUAUUGGGUAAUUAGUUGAGGAUUAAAUACACACUUUGCAAUAGAAUUAUGUUGAAAACUUUCAAUGCUUGAAGUUUGAAAUUCUUAGUUAGAUGCUCAAACUUUUAUUCAAUUAGUGGGUUUCGACAGUUUGAUUGAUACUGUUAGUCAAAUAGAUGACGUGAGCAAAGCAAGGAGUAAGAAUGCAUCACAUGUUUAAAAAAUAACAUCAUUUUACUUUUUCAUAGUUUUUGUAAAAAAUAGUUAUUUCAAAAAUUAAAAAUAAAAAAUUAAGAAAAAAAAAAGAAAAAUAUGUUUUGUGCUAAAAAACUUCACUUUUGAAAUUAAAAAUAUUUUUUUUUGAAAAUUUAAUAUAUUAAAAAAUUCUAAUUUUCUUAAAAAUUUUAUCUUUGAAAUUUAAAAUAAAAAAUUUUAAAAAUAUAUAAAACAAAUUAUUCUUGAAAUCAAAAAUAAAAAAUUUGGGGGGAAAGAGAGAAAAAGAGGGGGCAAAUUAGUGUCAAUCCAGCCAGCGAGAGCUACAUUGACGCCUUCCCUCUAUUUCGUCCCUCCCCUCUUUUUCCCUAUCUCCCUCAUCAAUCCCCCACUUUUCUCUCUCUCUCUGAGUUUUUUCCUUUUUUGUUUUUAUCUUAAUUUGUCAUUUUCCAGAUUUUUAAAAUUUUAUUUUAAUAUUAAAAAUAAAAAUAUAAAAAAAAAGACAAAAAAUAAAAACAAAAGAUGAUGUGUCACAUUAAUAUUUUUUAUUAGUUAUUUUUUUGUCACAUCAUUAAUUUAACUAACAUUUUUAAUUGAGUAUUUAAUUGUUAAUUUUUAAAUUUUGAGUAUGAAAUUGACAAUUUUACUGUAGUUCGGAUAACAAAUAUGUAAUUAAUCCAUUAAUUUACUACUAUAGAUUCUUGAAAGUGAGAGUAAGAGAGUUGGAGAAAUAUACCUUAAGAUAUCCCUUUAGCAUUCUUAGUGCAUUAUUGUUCGCAGCGAAUUUGAAGCAAUUAACACCAUAAAACCAUGUCACCCACGAUGGAUUAUGUGGAUUUGUCGGAUUUGGAACUCUUUGCAAUGAAGUGCAACCAUCUAACAUUAGGCCUUGUACACUUGAUGGAAGCUGAGGCAAUGUUUCAAGCUUACUACAACCCAUCAAUUGGAGACAAUAAAGCUUGGUAAGUUGACUAAGAUUCGCAGGUAGGCUGACGAAAUUGUUAUGACUAAGAAUCAGUUCUUCUAAUGAGGAUAAGCAACAUAUAUCACUAGGAAGAUCCCCUUCACAAAGAUUCAUGCCGCUUAUAUUCAACUCUCUUAAAGAACUCAAGCUUGAUAAACAAGGUAACGUCAGAGCCAUGAAAUUCGAACCUUUUUUUAAAAGCAUGGGAUUCAAACUUGAUAGUAGUACUUCGCAUCCCUUCUUAUAUAUCCUUUGUAGGAAGGAUGGUGGUGAAUUUUCAAGUACAGAGCAGCCCGAGAGAUUAAGAACUUUUAGGCUGCUGAGAUUUCCAACUGAAGAAGGAAGUUCUUCCAUGCUUGUGCCAUCUAAAUGGAGGUCCCGCAAAUGUUUCAUUUUCCCGGUAAUCUCUGAAAUCCUUUUAAGAUUCUUGCAGCCUGAAAGAAUCAAUGUUUCAAGAGACUCCAUUUCAUUAUUGAUUGAGAAACUCCUAAGACUUACACAGUUUUAAUUAAUACUACAUUCACGCAAGGCUAUUAAAGCGUGCACAACAUUGGCUAAAAUGCUAAUGGCAAAGAUGAGAAGAUCUUUGCUAAUGGCAAAGAUCAGUCAUGGGAAGUGUAUAGUGUCAGAUUUUUCUAGGUAGAUAUGAGAAAGAUUUGGGGAAUAUACCUGCUUUUUGUGCCCAGGUAUAGCCCACAAAUCACUGGUUCUUUACUGAUGUUUUUUGAAGGGGAUUAUUCCACCCUUCUUUGCAAUGAAACUACAAUCUUUCAAAAAAAAAUGAUAUCCGCAAAGGAUUUCACCUCAGUCCUGCUUUUAUGACCUUUUCAACCAAGAAAAUAAAUAAGAAAGGAUAUAAAUGCAAAUUAAACUUAUAAGAGAUGAUCCUGGAUCUUACUUUUUGAGAUAAAAUAGAAUUAGUUAAAGUCCAAUUUUAGUCAUGUAUAAAAGUUGUGGGAACAAGGAAUUAUAAGGACUAGUGAUUACCUGUUGAUCCAUCAAUCGUAUCUUUAUUGUAUCUUUUUCUUUUCUUGCUAGGCUGCUCCACUAUUGGGUCCAAGUCCUCCAAAUCACUUGGAUACACUAAUCGAGCCCCACACUUGUUCACCUUGUUACCCAUGCCAUCGAUAUCGAAUAAAAACUCGAUUCCAAUACAACUCUGUAUCCAAUCUCUGCUCUGCAAAUUCCCAAAUUGGUCAUGAAGCAAUUUUUCAACAGGCAAAUACCAUAGGCAGAGGUGGUCCUUGGAGGUCUGGGUAUUAAAACCUAUCCAAUGAGUACAUGACUUAAAUGUAAGAUCUUCAAAAUGGAUUGUAACACGACAUGUAAUGUCUUCUUCCGUCCAAUCAACAUUAUUGGAGGCGGGCACGACAACACAGCACAAGGCAAAUCCCA
rnacentral:lncRNA from 1 species